CUUCCAUGAUCCUAUGCUGCCGAGAAAAGCCUCUAGCGAGCUGGUACAUGGCCCGUACCCCAAACCGACACAGGUGGUCAGGUAGAGAAUACUAAGGCGAUCGAGAGAACUGUGGUUAAGGAACUCGGCAAAAUGCCCCCGUAACUUCGGGAGAAGGGGGACCAGUCCUGGUGACGACAUUUACUGUCUGAGCUGGGGUUGGUCGCAGAGACCAGAGAGAAGCGACUGUUUACUAAAAACACAGGUCCGUGCGAAGUCGUAAGACGAUGUAUACGGACUGACGCCUGCCCGGUGCUGGAAGGUUAAGAGGACCGGUCAGCCACUUCGGUGGCGAAGCUGAGAAUUUAAGCCCCAGUAAACGGCGGUGGUAACUAUAACCAUCCUAAGGUAGCGAAAUUCCUUGUCGGGUAAGUUCCGACCUGCACGAAUGGCGUAACGACUUCUCUGCUGUCUCAACCACAGACUCGGCGAAAUUGCAGUACGAGUAAAGAUGCUCGUUACGCGCGGCAGGACGAAAAGACCCCGGGACCUUCACUAUAGCUUGGUAUUGGUGUUCGGUUCGGUUUGUGUAGGAUAGGUGGGAGACUGUGAAACUCGCACGCCAGUGUGGGUGGAGUCAUUGUUGAAAUACCACUCUGACCGUAUUGGACAUCUAACCUCGGACCAUGAUCUGGUUCAGGGACAGUGCCUGGUGGGUAGUUUAACUGGGGCGGUUGCCUCCCAAAAAGUAACGGAGGCGCCCAAAGGCUCCCUCAGCCUGGUUGGCAAUCAGGUGUUGAGUGUAAGUGCACGAGGGAGCUUGACUGUGAGACGUACAUGUCGAGCAGGGACGGAAGUCGGGACUAGUGAUCCGGCACCGGCAAGUGGAAGCGGUGUCGCUCAACGGAUAAAAGGUACCCCGGGGAUAACAGGCUGAUCUUCCCCAAGAGUCCAUAUCGACGGGAUGGUUUGGCACCUCGAUGUCGGCUCGUCGCAUCCUGGGGCUGGAGUAGGUCCCAAGGGUUGGGCUGUUCGCCCAUUAAAGCGGCACGCGAGCUGGGUUUAGAACGUCGUGAGACAGUUCGGUCUCUAUCCGCCGCGCGCGUAAGAAACUUGAGGAAACCUGUCCCUAGUACGAGAGGACCGGGACGGACGAACCUCUGGUGUGCCAGUUGUUCCACCAGGAGCACCGCUGGUUAGCUACGUUCGGAAGGGAUAACCGCUGAAAGCAUCUAAGCGGGAAGCCUGUUCCAAGAUGAGGUUUCUCACCACCUAGCGUGGUUAAGGCCCCCCACAGACCAUGGGGUUGAUAGGCCAGAACUGUAAGCACAGCAAUGUGUUCAGGUGACUGGUACUAAUCGGCCGAGGACC
rnacentral:rRNA from 1 species